rnacentral:rRNA from 1 species
UACGAAGGGGGCUAGCGUUGUUCGGAAUCACUGGGCGUAAAGCGCACGCAGGCGGAUUGAUAAGUCAGGGGUGAAAUCCCGGGGCUCAACUUCGGAAUUGCCUUUGAUACUGUCAAUCUCGAGUCCGGGAGAGGUGAGUGGAAUUCCUAGUGUAGAGGUGAAAUUCGUAGAUAUUAGGAAGAACACCAGUGGCGAAGGCGGCUCACUGGCCCGGUACUGACGCUCAUGUGCGAAAGCGUGGGGAGCAAACAGG